CCAAAUGUACCUAAGUCAAAGUCAGGACCUCCAUCUGUUGACAAUUCAGCUUGGGGAAUUAGAGAUAGUGGAGAGUUAGUUGUCACCACAGCUGCCUUUCCUGUGCUUACAACUGCACAUGGUCGUUUCUUCAUAGCCUACAAUUCAUGCCACCAAUCGGGGUAUCCAUGGAGUUUGAAGCAAUUAUCACGGGUGUGUUUUUUAUUACCACAGUAAGAACAUUUUCCCCCUUCAAUAGUGCUGCAAAUUUUGGAACCAACGGUCAAUUUUCCUGUACCUCGAGAUGAUGUACCAGUAGAGGUAGGAACACUAGAACCCAACUGCAACCUCUUUGUGACCAGAAACGCACCAGAGACAGUGGCAAGGUCGGUUGUCAUGAAAACCUGUCGGAGUGCUUCCCGGCGAACCUGUGCAUAUACUUGUUCGAUGGUUGGAAAUAGUUUCAUCUGGAGAACAUCGCCUUUUACACUAUCCAGUUGGUCAUCAAUUCCAUCCAAGAAUUUGUAUACUUGUUCUUCUUGGACCGGAGAGUUAUAUUUGUUGAUGUCAGUAGCACAUAUCAUUGGAUUGGGGCGACGGAAGUCAAUUUCUUGCCAAAGUCCCUGCAGUUCGGAGUAGUAUUUCUCAGGGAAGUCAUUGCCUUGUUUCAGUCGAGACACUUGUCGUCAAAGGUCAUAGAUUUGAGAAGAGUCGUUGCCAUCAAAAAAUGUAGUAGCAAUGGCAUCCCAAAUUGAUUUGGCAAUAGGAAAUCUAAUGAAAUUACCAAUGAGUGUUGGAUCCAUGGAGUUUAUCAACCAACCUUUGACGAUGGCAUCUUCGGUGCCCCACUUUCGAAAAGAGGGAUGAGUUAGAGAGGGUUGAGGGAAAUCACCAUUGAUAUAACCCAGUUUGUCUUUGCCGGAGAUGUACAUCUCGACAACCUGGGACCAUAGAGUGUAGUUGGAACCAUACAACUUGACACCAAUCUAGCCAGCUGUAGUUUCACGGGUCACAGUUGGGAUCUGGGCUUUGGUCAAAAAUUCUGUCAUUUUUGUGGUAAUUGUAUCUGUGAGAAGGGUGUCAGGAUCACCAUGAGAGUCACCAGAUUUUUCUUCAGUUCUGAUGUCCUCCAUGGUCGGAAAAAUUGAAGCUUUGGUUAGGAGGUGGUGGUAAUGGCAACACCCUAGAAAACGUGCUGCUUUGAUACCAUGUGAUCUUUUUCCAUUUUAUUGCAUAUAUUUUUACAUUGAUAGGUUACAAAUAAAUAGAAUAAGAAAAAACUAUUUUUAGCUAUAUAAUCUAUUUUUGACUACUGUGGGUGGAAUCAUGAGAGGAAUUCCCUAUUUUGUUCCUAAAUUGGUUCUAAUAGCUCACGCCAACAUUUACAACAUAAUGGAGGAACCAAGGACUGGUCUUCUAAUCAUAUCACCAAGAUACCUCUUACCCGUGCUAGCAACAUAAGAGCGUCUCCAAUGGUGGCGUAAAAUUGAGUGUAAAUUAGUAUCUUCAAAAUCACUUUUGCAUCCUCAUUUAUAUCCCGGUGGAUCCAAAUUUGAAUUUUGCUUGAUGAUCUAAAUCCACCUUUUGCAUCUUAUAGAUAUAAAUUUACAUUUUUUACUGAAAAAAAUAAUUUUCUUUUGCAUCUCGAGAGGUUUUCGGCCACUUUGGAGAUCUAAUUCGCAAUUUAGAUCUAUUUUUCACCACGAUUGGAGCUACUCUAAGACGUGUAGGAAAUCGAAUCCCGUGGAGUAGCUUAAAUAAAACCGCUGAAGCGCCGGUUUUAAUUUGCCCAACAUUUCAGUUGAUUAAUUUUGAUCGAGACCUUGCUCAUAUCAGCUUCAGUAAAAUAUCGGGCAUUUACGAGAAGCAAAUCAAAUAUAAUCAUAAUAUGUCAUAUUGUUGAGUUAGCAUUGAAUUCUAGUUGUACUAUCUGUAUACAGCAAAAGUCCUCUAUCAUCCAAUACACAUCUCGACUAGUUCGAGUUCAGAUGGUGCUGUAGGAACAACAUAAGAUGAUCUCGAUAGUCAUAUAAAUAUUUACUUUAGUGCUUUAUCAACAACACAAGGCAGAAUUCAUUAUACAAAGAUAUAUUUUCAUCAUUCACGCAAUAAGAAAUUUACAAUACAAACCAAAUCAUAAAACAGUGAUCUAGACAAUAGAUAAUAGAUAACUAAAUUUUACGAUUUAGUACUAGGCAUCGGACCAGGUGAUAUCCAACUCGCCCACAUUGCCAGAUACUCCUAAGGCUUUCCAUACAGCUUUAGAGGCAUCGACAAUGUUAUUAUCACAUGGAGGUUGAUAAUCAUGGUCGUCAUCACAUCCCAUGGUAGAAUCACACUCGUCAACCACCAUAGCAGUUACACUUCGGCCAUUAGCAGUUAUUGUGAUAUUGUUAAGGCAUCUUGAUCCUCCGCUGUACCAUCCAGUUGACAGAGCGACAACUGGUGUGUCAUCGGAGUGGUACUUGUUGUCACAUUCUGAUGGUGCACCGCCAUCUCCACCCUUCUCGAAGCUGUUAAUCGUGAGAACUGCCUUAGUGCUACCGGACACUGAUGGUGAACAUUUGUAGGUGGUGUAAGAUUUUCCCUGUUUACAGCAGUCAGAUUGGUUUUCCUGGUUGCAUUGUCCAGGGGGAGGCUUUUUUCCAAUUAUUUUGCCACUUGGCUUGCACUCUUGAAGUCUAGCCUCUGAAAAAUGAGUAACAAGAAAGAGUAGCACAAAAAGAAGAGCUCCUGAGCUUAAUUUCUUCAUCUUUUCUCUCGAAUCAAAACACAAGUAUUGAUGAGAUGAUUGAGUUUGGUGCAAAUUCUGAUCAAAGGAUUCGUUUAUAUAUAGUUUGGCCAAAGAAAAUGCCAAGAUUGUGCUCAAGGUAAAAGAAAUACAAAAAUGAAAUACGUCAGAUUAGUAUUCAUAAAUAAUGUUAAGGUUAGUCAUAAAGUCCAUGGGAGGGUUCAAAUAGAACCAUGACUGUAAACUAUGCUGCGUUUUUCUGUAUAUUCACGCAGAAGCUCGAGCUAUUAAAAAUGAGAUGCUAUUAAUUAUUUAUAUUUUAUUUUCUAUGCACUAUCUCACAUGCAGCUCGUAUUAACGGUUAUACUUAAACCUAUUAAAUUAUCUCAUCUAAAAGUUUAAGUUAUUUGCGAGAUGUAAAUUUUAUAUAUUUAUAUUUAUAUAUUGUCUUUAACCAUGUGAGUUUUGUGAUUAUUAAAGCCAUAUGAAAAGGAACCUUCAAAUAACUUGUAUACCAUAUCUCAAUCCUCAGUCGUCUGUUCAUUUUUUAAGAUUCCAUCAACAUUUUGUCCCAUGUUUUAUUUCUAUUUUCCUUUGAAAAUCCCAGAAGACAUUAGAUGUAUGGCAAUUUGUUGGUGUUCUUUGACCAGUUCUGUCAGAGUGCAAAAUUAGAUGUAGAUUACCAUUUAGUUAAGAUAUCAGUCUCUGUCACUGAUGUUGAAAAGUUUAUAAGCCACGGCACAAACAAAUAAUUUUAAUGAUAAAAGAUUUGAUAGAUUAAAUUAGUGGCCUGGCCUGUUGAACUGUACACUGGAAUAUAUGACUGACCCUAUCACUUUUCACAUGAUGACAUAAUUCAUAACAUGUUUGUGUAUUGAGAACUAUAAUGGUAUUUUCAGCAUAAUUCAUAACCAAUUUAUUUUUGGCAUUGAGAGCCAUUCGCAUGAGCAACGCCGUGUGGGAUAAUUGUCGCCAGUGAGUAAUUCUAGGGCCAAAAUAGCACUGGGAUUAUCUGCAGCAGUCAGGAAAUAAGGUGAAGUGAUCACUGUCAAGUUGGGCUGGUGUGAAGGUGACGAUGGUGUCUGCCAUGGUGAAGAUGCGAAAGUGUUCAGAGAUCCCAAAGAUCAAGAUGCUCUGUUGCCAUGAUAAAAGAAGAGAUGAAAGAAAAUAUUCUAUAUUUUACUGUGUUUCCUUGAUGAUGCUGUAAAUGGAGAUUACAGCAUAUAUAUAGAAUAGAGAUACUACAGCACAAGGGAAGGUAAAUAACAGUGAGCUGUGAGCUUAAUCGGUGCACUUUGUGAUGCUUGAAUAGUGCAAUCCGUGUGCUAGAAAUAGCAGUGAGCUGUGGGGCUUGACUAGUGCAAUUUGUUUGCUGUUAUAAUGUGGUGAAAAUGGCAUUGAACAGUGAAGCUUAACUAGUGCAAUCUGUCUACUGGAAUAAUGUAAUCUGUUUGCUGGCUAAUAGUUUGAGUAAUUACUCGAUAUUUUCGUGCUAUAGACGGGAUGUUAUAUUGGAAGGCCAAAGUACAUUAACAACACUACCAUAAGUGCUAAGGGCCAAAGAAUAAGUGCUCUAGUCAUUGUAUGUGAUUCUACUGUGGGAUGUAAUGAGGACCACGAUUAUCAACAUUACAUAGCGGUGCUUGCAUACGACAUGGUCCAAUGCCUAGCAUAGUUUAUUACAAUUGCAAUUGUGAUCUUGUUAAUAUUAAAGCAUUUUAAGAAUUUUACUUCCCGGUUUACUAAUUUAUAGCUUGAAAAUUUUCUCAUUCCUAGUCCACCUAUAUAUAAAGAAUGUUCGUUUCACUCGCUGAUAGUACUUUUUUUUUUGGAUGAGUAUAAUAUAGCUAAGAAUGUCAAGAGACAACCAAGGAUUAACUUGUUGAAAACGUAUAAGAAAUGCAAUAAAAAAAAUCUCAAGAAAACUGUCAACCAGCUCAUUUAAAAGUUUAAAGGGUGUUUUAAAUUAUAACCAAUUUUGGAGGUAGGGUUGAAAAAUUUUGGCCAAUUUUUAUUUAUUAUUGAUUAUUUUUAUUAUUAAUAUUAUUAUUUUUUUACAAAAGUGUCCAUUUUUUUAUGUCAAAGGGCGAAAAAACCAUUUUUGUAAGAAUGGCCAAAUUUAUUAUAUGGUGUAGAUUUCUUAGUACAAUUCUUGGUGUAGAUUCAUAGUAUCCUUGUUUACAUUUUGUUCUGUAUCCAUGUCAAAUUUGUAUAUCAUUCAAUGUAAUUCAAGAUGUACUAGUUUGGAUGAAUCAGAAACCUUUUCUCUUGUGUAGGCAAAUUUUCUUCAUUGCGAUCAAAUUAAGUACUGCACUAACUGGUUAGCAUGGUUUGAACCAUAAAUCUCAUAAUCAUCAAUAUUAGUUACAGUGGAUUUGAUGACAACAGGCGGACUCAUUAAGGGUCUUGUGGGUUUAAUUGCCCCAAUUGGACCCAUAAUUUUUAACAUUGAAAAAAAAAUGCCAUUAUAAUUUUAGCCCAUAAUUUUUAAUACAAAUCAAUUGCCCCCAUUGGAUCCGCCCCGACAAACGAGGUUCAUAAUGGCUGUUUAUGUGAGUAAAAGUUUUAUGUGACUUUAUGAAGACCUAAACAGUAGAUUCUCUAAGCAUGUAAAAUGAGAUCAGUUUUAGUGAUGGCAACAGGGCGUGUUCAGGCGGGACGUCCCCACCCCACCCCGCCACGGCUGGUCGGGGAUGGGGUAACUUUUUGCCCCGUUUAAUAUAUAUAUUUUUUAAUGUUUCAAGUUAUGUUAUUAUUAGAAAAUAAAAUACAAGUUCAAAAUGAAUUUUGAACGGGUGAAUUGUUUAGAAAUAAAAUUAUUUUUAAUUUUUUUCCUUCACGGGCCGGGUUUUAUUGCCAUCCCUCAUCAGUUUUGAGGUUACAUCGUUGUUUUUAUUUCUAGCUAACAAAAUACUCAAAUACGAAAGGGUUAUUGUUGUUGAACCGGUUUAAACUUUAGACAAAAGAAAACGUUUCCUUCACAUGUAGCUGAAUUUAUUUUCAGCUUUGCUACAGUGACAAGGAGAGGUUGAUACCUUUUUUUUUUAAAUUUUUUUUUUUUUUUUUACUUNNNNNNNNNNNNNNNNNNNNNNNNNNNNNNNNNNNNNNNNNNNNNNNNNNNNNNNNNNNNNNNNNNNNNNNNNNNNNNNNNNNNNNNNNNNNNNNNNNNNNNNNNNNNNNNNNNNNNNNNNNNNNNNNNNNNNNNNNNNNNNNNNNNNNNNNNNNNNNNNNNNNNNNNNNNNNNNNNNNNNNNNNNNNNNNNNNNNNNNNNNNNNNNNNNNNNNNNNNNNNNNNNNNNNNNNNNNNNNNNNNNNNNNNNNNNNNNNNNNNNNNNNNNNNGAUGUACUAGUUUGGAUGAAUCAGAAACCUUUUCUCUUGUGUAGGCAAAUUUUCUUCAUUGCGAUCAAAUUAAGUACUGCACUAACUGGUUAGCAUGGUUUGAACCAUAAAUCUCAUAAUCAUCAAUAUUAGUUACAGUGGAUUUGAUGACAACAGGCGGACUCAUUAAGGGUCUUGUGGGUUUAAUUGCCCCAAUUGGACCCAUAAUUUUUAACAUUGAAAAAAAAAUGCCAUUAUAAUUUUAGCCCAUAAUUUUUAAUACAAAUCAAUUGCCCCCAUUGGAUCCGCCCCGACAAACGAGGUUCAUAAUGGCUGUUUAUGUGAGUAAAAGUUUUAUGUGACUUUAUGAAGACCUAAACAGUAGAUUCUCUAAGCAUGUAAAAUGAGAUCAGUUUUAGUGAUGGCAACAGGGCGUGUUCAGGCGGGACGUCCCCACCCCACCCCGCCACGGCUGGUCGGGGAUGGGGUAACUUUUUGCCCCGUUUAAUAUAUAUAUUUUUUAAUGUUUCAAGUUAUGUUAUUAUUAGAAAAUAAAAUACAAGUUCAAAAUGAAUUUUGAACGGGUGAAUUGUUUAGAAAUAAAAUUAUUUUUAAUUUUUCUCCUUCACGGGGUGGGGCCCAUCGAGGUGGAUUUUAUUGCCAUCCCUAAUCAUUUUUGAGGUUACAUCAUUGUUUUUAUUUCUAGCUAACAAAAUACUCAAAUACGAAAGGGUUAUUGUUGUUGAACCGGUUUAAACUUUAGACAAAAGAAAACGUUUCCUUCACAUGUAGCUGAAUUUAUUUUCAGCUUUGCUACAGUGACAAGGAGAGGUUGAUACCUUUUUUUUUUAAAUUUUUUUUUUUUUUUUUACAUUUUCAAAGUUUCAAGUUAUAUUAUUAUUAGAGAAUAAAAUACAAAUUCAAAAUGAAUUUUUAAUAGGUGAAUUGUCUAGAAAUAAAAUUAUUUUUAAUUUUUUUUCCUUCACGGGGCCCCGUCGGGGUGGGUUUUAUUGACAUCCCUAAUCAUUUUUGAGGUUACAUCAUUGUUUUUAUUUGUAGCUAACAAAAUACUCAAAUAUGAAAGGGUUUGUUGUUGAACCGGUUUAAACUUUAGACAAAAGAUAAACAUUUCCUUCACAUGUAGAUGAAUUUAUUUUCAGCUUUGCUACAAUGACAGAGAGAGGUUGAUACCUCCUUGACCGAACUCUCACGAUAGGGAUGGGACAACUUUUUGCCCCGUUUAAUUUUUAAAAUUUUUUUUUUUUAACAUUUUCAAAUUUUCAAGUUAUGUUAUUAUUACAGAAUAAAAUACAAAUUCAAAAUGAAUUUUUAACGGGUGAAUUGUCAAGAAAUAAAAUUAUUUUUAAUUUUUCUCCUUCACGGGGCGGGGCCCUAUCGAGGUGGGUUUUAUUGCCACCCCUAAUCAUUUUUGAGGUUACAUCAUUGUUUUUAUUUCUAGCUAACAAAAUACUCAAAUACGAAAGGGUUAUUGUUGUUGAACCGGUUUAAACUUUAGACAAAAGAUAAACAUUUCCUUCACAUGUAGCUGAAAUUAUUUUUAGCUUUGCUACAGUGACAGAGAGAUGUUGAUACUUCCUUGACCGAACUCCCACAAUAGGGAUGGGGCCACUUUUUUUUCGAUUUUAUUAUUCACACCAGUCCCACUUGCACGUGAGAGGAUGUCAAAGGCUUUUUUCAACAAUUUUCAGUCAACUCUAUUUAAUUCAUUUAUUUUCUCAUCAGGAUUGAACAGGACUGAGCAGUCCUAAAGGAUUCUCUCGAGGGACAUUCAUCUGGAUUUUCUUCUGCUGAAUCAACCAACAUGAUUCACUAACAGUAGAUUCAAUAGGGGCCCCAUCUUGAUUAUUUAGAUAUAUUUGAAGACCAGCCUAGGAUUCUGUGAAGGUUCACAAGGAUUCUCUUGUUUAUGACGAUCAUCUCUGCAGACAGCUAAGAAAUUAAUCUAGGUACCAACAUUACACAACUUGACCGAUGUCUUGUCUCAUACCGUGCCAUGCUAUAUAUGUUGAGAAUCAACUGAAUUGCACAACAAACCAUUGACAACCCGAAAGAAGGAAAAAAUGAAGAAUUUUUCAGUUCUCAUUUUGUUUCUGAUUAUCACGUCCUUGAAUUUAGAGGUUGGUGCUCAAUCCUGCAAACCAAGUGGCAAGAAACUACAUAAAGGGGAAUGCAAUCAGCAGAAUGACUCUGAGUGUUGUGAGGAAGGCAAGUAUUAUUAUGACAUAUACAAUUGCUCACCAAAGAUUUCAAGCAAAACGAAAGCAAUUCUGACCAUCAACAGUUUCGAGGACGGUGGCGAUGGUGGUGGCCCGUCAAUAAUUACCACUCAGAUAAUAAGCCAGUUGUGGCACUGUCAAUGGGGUGAUUCUACAAUGACAAGAGGUGCUUAAAAAAUAUUACUAUUUAUGGGAAUGGGAGGAGUAUGAAUGCAAUGGUGGUCGAUAAGUGUGAUUCUACACUAGGCUAUGAUUCAGACCAUGAUUAUCAGCCUCCUUGUUAUAACAACAUUGUUUAUGCAUCUAAGGCUGCCUGGAAAGCUUUAAGGGUGCCGGAGAAAAACUGGGGCGGAUUAGAUAUUCACUGGUCUGAAUCGUCUUAUGCUUAAUUGUAACGAUGCUACAACACUGUACGUAAAAGAGAUUUCCUUGAUCAUGUUGUGAUUCUCCGAUCACGAGAAGAGAAGAUGAAAAACAAUUCUAUUUCUAUCUUGAAUAGAAUUUACAAUAGAGUAUUACAAACUCUCAAAAAAAACCCUCUUAAAAAUGGGACUUUCCCUCUCUCUUGGGGCAUAUUAUUCUCUACAAAUGCAUCCCAUAUUUAUAAGAAAAUUUUGCUGCAAACCGCCUAAAAUUUCUGGUCCAAAAUCGGCCAUGUAGGUGCUUUGUGUUUUAACAAAAUGGGUAGCAAACCGACUGAAACUUCUGGCAAAAAAAACCUGCUAUUUUUCCUGCAUUUUUCGGCUGCAUUUAAUGCAUAAUUUCCUUGCCUCAGUUUUCAGAUUUUAGUCAACAAAAAGAUGCAAAAUGGUGGCUAGGAGAAUUUAUAAACCAAUCAAAAAUGGCAGCUGCCUUCAUUCAAUUUCUCUUCAGGUGGUGGGAGAGGUUUCAUGCAUGCAUGAGGGAGUCUUGCACGUUAAGGAAUUGAAAUUCAACAAUUUCGGCUGGAAGAAACUUGAUUUAUAUGCAAUUGGAACAAAUCAGAUCAAUGAUCUAGAGCUACCUUUUUCUUCAGCAUCAAAAGAAUAAGGAGUUUUCCAUUCGUGGAGUUAUUCUAUUCUGGCCUUGUUGUAUUGGUGCAUGACCUAAUAAGAUAUGAAUACAGGUUGUUUGACAAAGUUUUUAAUAAAAGUUUUAAUAAAUUUUGAUAAAGGUUAAUGAAAUAUGUGAUCGAAAAAUUAAUAAAAAAUUGCUAGUCCUAUGAAAUGUGUGGCUAAAAUUCAAGUGUAACCAGUGAAAAAGUUGAUAAAAUUUUAUUAAAGAUUUAUCAAACAAGCACUAAGUAGUUUUCUUUUGUAGACAAAAUACUAAGAUUUUAGAGCCUUGAAUGUAAAUAGCUAUGUGAUAAUAUUUAGUAGUGAAUUCCAUGAUAUGCCAUAUAUCAUAGUUAUCAAACCCGACUCGGAUAUCGACCCGAUCAAGGUACCAGGUUACUAGUUGGACCAAUGAACCGGUGGUCGGAUCGGUGUGUCAUUACUUAAAAAUAAUUUAAUAAUUUUUAAAGUAUAAUUUUUUUAUUUUUUUGUUUGAGACAAAAUUAAAAUUUAAAAGUUCUUUCUCACUAAUUUUUCUAUACAUUUAAAUUAAUGAUUUUCUAAACUCAUUCAUCAGUAAUGAUGGCUAAAUUUUGAUUUUAUAAUUUUAUAUAUUAUAUUAAAAAAAAUAUUUUUUUCCCUUUUUGUGAUUUACAAAUUAUUUAUUAGUUAUUGACAAAAAUUCUGUGUAUUAUCUAUUCAAUUUAUCUUAGUUAAAAUUAAUUUUUUUUUCAAACAAAAUAAGUAUAUAAAAUAAUUAUUUGAAAUUACGAAGUGAAUGUAAAUGUUGGACUAAUUUUUUUGAAAAAGUUUCUGCAAGUAGCAAAUUAUAUAUAGGUUAGAUAUAAUUUAUUAAACAAAAGACAAUAUAAUAUUGUUUGCAUUAGUGGUGCAUUAGUGGUACGGCUAUUUUCUACUUACUUAGAGGUCAAGGGUUCAAAUCUUUGGUACCUACAAUUUCAAUGUAAAAGAGUUUUGAAAUUUGGUUUAAAAACCAAUCAGGUUGAACUGGGCUGAACCGGCCUGAAAAUUAUUCAAAAAUACCUAUUGGCCCGGUCAAAUCCGAAUUUUGAUCGGGUCACUUGCAUUUAUAUAAAAGGAAAAAUUCAUAAUUCAAUUGUAUUAUUUACACUAAUUCAAAAAUCAAAUAGAUAGUUUAAAAAUUCAAAACUCAUAUAUAUAUUUAAUUAAUUAAAAAUAUCUAUUAAAUAAAUAUAAUAAAAUCACAGUUAUAUGAUUAAUGGUCACAUAUUCAUAAUUAUAAAUCACAGAUUUAUUUGUUGGUCACAUAGCAUCGAACUAAUUGAUCACAGAUCAGUUCGUGAUCACAAAUCAAAAAUUUUGUAGGUUAUAGAUUAUUUGAGGUCAUAGGUCACAUAUUUUCACAUUUAUUGGUUGCAGAUUAUUUUUUUAGUCACAAAUUAUGGAAGUUUAAGGUCAAAGAUUAAUAAUUAAUCCACGACGUUGACAACCAACACCACCACUAAAUAUCACCACGAUGGUUGCAUCAACACCAUCGCCUAAAUCAUCGUGGCCACCAGAAACACUAAUUGCAUCAUAACUGCCAUCAACACAACCAUCAACCACCCAAAAAAUAAUAAUAAUAAAACCUAACAAAGGAUGCACCAUCACCAUCCCAACACCAACAUUGCCUGUAUUAUCUGCCAUACCAGAACCAAUAGCAUCUUCGUACACGUCACGCACAACACUCAUAGAUUCUGGAUAGUUGGAGUAUCUGUUGGUUUACAUUCCAACAUUCCUACUUCAGUAAGUAAAUCCAACACGUACUUUCUUUGAGAUAAAAAUAAACCUUGUUUUGAUCUAGCUACUUCUAUCCCUAGAAAAUAUUUGAGCCCUCCUAAAUUUUUCAUCUCAAAUUUAGUUGCCACUUGUCUCUGAAUUUGGGAUAUCUCUUCCUUAUCGUCUCCUGUGAUAAUCAUGUCAUCUACAUAGAUUAUUAAAGUAGUUAUCUUGUCACCUUUAUGCUUUAAGAAUAAUGUAUGAUCUGAAUUACUUUGCUGGAACCCAUACUUCUUCAUCGUCAAACUAAAGCGCCCAAACCAUGCUAGAGGUGAUUGUUUCAACCCAUACAAUGAUCGUUGUAAUUUGCAUACUACUUUGGUUUCUAAGGAUGCUGUGUAGCCUGGAGGAAUGUCCAUGUAUACUUUUUCUUCGAGAUCAUCGUGAAGGAAUGCAUUUUUUACAUCAAACUGAUGUAGAGGCCAGUCCAGGUUAGCUGCGAGAGAUAACAGUACUCUAACAGUAUUCAGUUUAGCAACAUGUGAGAAAGUUUCUUGGUAAUCAACUUCAUAUGUUUGUGUAUAGCCUUUUGCCACCAAUCUUGGUUGGUACCGUUCAAUGGAGCCAUCUAACUUGUGUUUGAUGGAAAACACCAUUUACACCCUACCGUUUUCUUUCCUUCAGGUAAUGGCACCAGAAUCCAUGUGUCAUUUUUCAAUAAUGCUUCCAUUUCUUUUUUCAUUGCUUGAGCCCAUUUCUGAUCAGAUAAAGCUUCUUGAACUCCAGUCAGAACAUGAUUUGAAGAUAGUACGUGUGCAAAAGCUUUGAGAUGUUCGGAUAACUUCAUGGUGGACAUUUAGUUGGCAAUUGGAUAUCUUGGCCUUCGUUCCUCCACAUUCGGAGAAUAUCUAAUUGGUGGCUUACCACGAUUAUGCCUGAGAGGUAAUAUAUAACAAGCAUGAGUAUCCAAAUCAUUUAGAAAUGUAUGAAGAUUGCUUACCUCAGAGAUAUUCUCGGGAGAUGGGUCUGUAGGUAUUGGAGGAGAAGAGGGGUUUGGUUCAGUUUCCAAAGGUGUAAUGUUAUUCCCUGAAGAUGUAGUGUCAUUUUCUAAAAAAGCAUUCAUAUCAGUUGUCGGCUCUGGCCUUGAGGAGUUCGGUUCAACUGCUUUACUUGGCCCUAUAUUAGAGUUUAGCCACUCAAGGUGUAGCCAAUUUUGCUCUUCAUCUCGUUUCUCCUCCUGAAGAGAAGAAUUGGUACCAGAAGAAAAAUAGGGAUCAGAUUCCAAAAAUGUGACAUCCAUUGUCACAUAGAAAUGUUUUUUCACGGGGUCAUAACAACGGUAGCCUUUUUGGUGAACACCAUAUCCCAAAAAUAAACAUCUGAGAGCAUAAGGGUCAAGUUUUGUUCGUUGGUUCUUAUUAAGAUGUACAUAGACCACACAACCAAAUACUCGAGAAUGGAGCAUUAGGACUGUAGGUAGAGGAACAUAGGAUGCUAGGACCUGGAGGGGAGUCUUAAAGUUUAAGAUUUUUUUUGGCAUUCGAUUUAGUAGAUGUACAGCAAUGGAUACCGCAUCAGGCCAGUAUCGAUGAGGUACAUGAGUACCAUGUAACAAGGUCCGAGCAGUUUCAAGAAUAUGGCAAUUCUUCCUUCCAUUUUCCUGAGGUGUCAGGGGGCAAGAUGUCUCAUGAAUGAGGCCGUGUUGCUCAAAGUAGGUGCGGAAGUGACAUAUUCACCACCAUUAUUAGAUCGAAGGACUUGGAUCUUAGCAGAAAAUUGUGUUUAAACCAUAGUACGGAACGAAUGAAAUAUUUGUAGCACUUCAUCCUUAGUUUUCAUCAAGUAAAGCUAAGUCAUGCGAGUGCAGUCAUCAACAAAAAUAGUAAACCAACGAACCCCAGAUCCAACAGAAAUAGGAGAAGAACCCCACACAUCAGAAUGAAUUAAAGCAAAGGGGAUACUACUUUUAUUCAUGCUCAAAGGAUAUGAGUUGCGAUGACUUUUAGCAACAAUGCAAGUACCGCAUUUUAAACUAGAAUAUCCAUAUUCAAAAACAAAUCAGGCAAUAAAUGUUUCAAAUAACCAAAUGAUGGAUGUCCCAAACAACGAUGCCAGAGCCAAAUCUGUCGUUCUCGAGCAUCACCCCGAACAAGAUGUGUACUUCCCACGCUGAAAUCUUCCAAAUAGUAUAAUCCCCCUCUUCUAGUACCACACCCAAUUAUCUACCUCGUGAAAAUAUCCUGAAGAAGGCAAAAAGUAGGGUAAAUUAGCAUCGCACAAUUUAAUUCUUUAGUAGCUUGACUAACAGAUAAUAAUUUAUGGCUAAGUGAUAGCACAACUAAUGCAUUAGAUAAUUGAAGAGAGGGAGACAAAGUCACAGAACCAAACCCUGUGACUGGAGAAAGAGUCCCAUUUGCAUUUGCAACACUAGUGCGUCGUGGUGGGGGUUUUUGAGUAAAAUCUGCAACAUCAAAGGUCACGUGGUCAGUGGCCUCGGAGUCAAGUAGCGAACCACCACGUGUAUUAUCUUCCUGCAAAGAGGAAAUAAAUGUAGAGCAAAAUGUACCUAAGUCAGAGUCAGGACCUCCAUCUGUUGACAAUUCAGCUUGGGGAAUUAGAGAUAGUGGAGAGUCAGUUGUCACCACAGCUGCCAUCCCUGUGCUUACAACUACACCUGGUCGUUUCUUCAUAGCCACCAGUCGAGGUAUCCAUGGAGUUUGAAGCAAUUAUCAUGGGUGUGUUUUUUAUUACCACAGUAAGAACAUUUUCCCCCUUCAAUAGUGCUGCAAAUUUUGGAACCAACGGUCAAUUUUCCUGUACCUCGAGAUGAUGUGCCAGUAGAGGUAGGAACACUAGAACCCAGUUGCAGCCUUUUUGUGACCAGAACCGCACUAGAGAUAGUGGCAGGGUCGG
rnacentral:lncRNA from 1 species